rnacentral:rRNA from 1 species
CCGCUCAGAGUAUAAGCCAAUGGAGCUUGGAAGGCUUCCGCAGAUGGUGUCCACCAUACGUGGUGUUCUUAAGACCUUGAGUCUCGCUCGUCAGGCGUAGCAUUGAGUUUGCCAGGUUAGCCGUCGUGCGGGGGUUCGGCUUGGAGGUCUCAGGCUUCGGCCGAAGGGCUUCCGGCUGUCCCCUUUUGAAUGGACGUUCAGAGCUCUUGUGUCUAAUGCGGUUAUGCCCACCACAGCACGUUGCGAGGUCACCCACAGGCUCAAACUGCCGAUCGCGUAUCCAGGACGAUGGCAACGAUGCGUUGUUGGCGCGUGUGCGGGAGCGAGUCUCUCCACGCCGUCACACGCGUGUCUAGUCCUGGGUCGGGCGGCGACCGAGAUAAACCUGGUACGAUCCUCUUGCGACGAGCUGCUUUCUGGCCAGACCGACGCCCAGGCGCCUCCACUGUGCCGGAGGCGUCAAACCCAGGCGGUGUGAACCCAGCUGCAUUAUGCAAGGUCUCUCAGCCGGGCGUUGGUCUGAGUGGUGUCAAGUCCAGCACCAUCGGUCACGUCUCGAAACACGGGCCAAGGAGUAUAGCAUGUGUGCAAGUCUAAGGGUCCCACAAAACCCGAAGGCGAAGUGAAAGCAAGACUGUGGCGGGGGAGCCACGGCAAACCCGCCGGCCUAGUGCGGCGCCUCGUGCGUCGCCUGGCUUCAAGCAGAGCUGAUCCUGUUUUCUCGGUUAAUUCUUGGUGCAGGCGCAAGCUCCGGGCUCACGUACAACACUGGUGACGCCUCGCGCGUGGCUGUGU